rnacentral:rRNA from 1 species
GACGAACGCUGGCGGCGUGCCUAAUACAUGCAAGUAGAACGCUGAAGAGAGGAGCUUGCUCUUCUUGGAUGAGUUGCGAACGGGUGAGUAACGCGUAGGUAACCUGCCUGGUAGCGGGGGAUAACUAUUGGAAACGAUAACUAAUACCGCAUAAAAUUGAUUAUUGCAUGAUAAUUAAUUGAAAGAUGCAAUUGCAUCACUACCAGAUGGACCUGCGUUGUAUUAGCUAGUUGGUGAGGUAACGGCUCACCGAGGCGACGAUACAUAGCCGACCUGAGAGGGUGAUCGGCCACGCUGGGACUGAGACACGGCCCAGACUCCUACGGGAGGCAGCAGUAGGGAAUCUUCGGCAAUGGGGGGAACCCUGACCGAGCAACGCCGCGUGAGUGAAGAAGGUUUUCGGAUCGUAAAGCUCUGUUGUAAGAGAAGAACGGGUGUGAGAGUGGAAAGUUCACACUGUGACGGUAUCUUACCAGAAAGG